rnacentral:misc_RNA from 1 species
AAAAAAAAAAAAAAAAACUCAUUACUCCAUAAAACUUCUACAAAGUCGACGGUCAAUAAUCCAUCGAUCAAACACCUUCACCUACUUUCUAUACGCUACUUCAGCACCACUAACAACAACAACUGCAACUUGCGACAGAAGGAGGAAAGGAUGGAUUUUUAGAAGGAAGGAACGACGCCGAAUCCGUAGAUACUACUUCGAUCAACUUCAACUUCAAUAUCGGAUCGUUUCGCGAAUCUUCCUUUGAUUCUCGGUCUCGUCUCUGCAUAAGCUUUUCGCGAUGCGUAUCUAAUUGUCUUCUGGAACUUUCGGUUCUUUCUCUUUUCUCUGUACCUUAACACCCUUGCUUCCCUGUCCACUGCCGAUAGCUGAACCGUUUGAUUUGUUGACUCCAUGCUAUCUGGCACUACUCCGACGUCCAGAGAUGAGGAUGAUAC